ACGAACGCUGGCGGCAUGCCUCACACAUGCAAGUCGCACGAGACCUUCGGGUCUAGUGGCGCACGGGUGCGUAACGCGUGGGAACCUGCCCUUAGGUUCGGAAUAACUCCCCGAAAGGGGUGCUAAUACCGGAUAAUGUCUUCGGACCAAAGAUUUAUCGCCUUUGGAUGGGCCCGCGUUGGAUUAGCUAGUUGGUAGGGUAAAAGCCUACCAAGGCGACGAUCCAUAGCUGGUCUGAGAGGAUGAUCAGCCACACUGGGACUGAGACACGGCCCAGACUCCUACGGGAGGCAGCAGUGGGGAAUAUUGGACAAUGGGCGAAAGCCUGAUCCAGCAAUGCCGCGUGAGUGAUGAAGGCCUUAGGGUUGUAAAGCUCUUUUACCCGGGAUGAUAAUGACAGUACCGGGAGAAUAAGCUCCGGCUAACUCCGUG
rnacentral:rRNA from 1 species